rnacentral:ncRNA from 2 species
UACCUUUGCGCCCGCAACGGUUCCUGUUUUUCCAAUUUCGGAAAAAGGAUUAAAAGGGAAUCGGGUGAAAAUCCCGAACAGACCCGCUGCUGUAAGUUCUAUUGGAGUUUUGCACCAUACUCAAGCCACUGUCGAAAGACGGGAAGGCGGUGCAAAAAAGAACGAGUCAGAAGACCUGCCGUGCAUAUCAUUCAUUU